rnacentral:rRNA from 1 species
UACGUAGGGGGCAAGCGUUGUCCGGAAUCAUUGGGCGUAAAGCGCGUGUAGGCGGCUCGAUAAGUCUGCUGUGAAAGUCCAGGGCUCAACCCUGGGAUGCCGGUGGAUACUGUCGAGCUCGAGUCCGGAAGAGGCGAGUGGAAUUCCUGGUGUAGCGGUGAAAUGCGCAGAUAUCAGGAGGAACACCAAUGGCGAAGGCAGCUCGCUGGGACGUGACUGACGCUGAGACGCAAAAGCGUGGGGAGCAAACAGG